rnacentral:rRNA from 1 species
UACGGGGGGUGUAAGCGUUGUUCGGAAUUACUGGGCGUAAAGGGCGUGCAGGCGGUCACCGCAAGUUAAAUGUGAAAUCCCUGGGCUUAACCCAUGACGUGCGUUUAAGACCGCGGGACUUGAAUACGGGAGAGGGUUGUGGAAUUCCUGGUGUAGAGGUGAAAUUCGUAGAUAUCAGGAGGAACACUCGUGGCGAAGGCGACAACCUGGACCGAUAUUGACGCUGAGACGCGAAAGCGUGGGUAGCAAA